rnacentral:rRNA from 1 species
UGCAAGUCACGGGGGCUCGCAAGAGCAACCGGCGAACGGGUGCGUAACACGUGAGCAACCUACCGAUUUGUGGGGGAUAGCUGGCCUAACGGCCAGGUAAUACCGCAUACGCUCAUAAGGCCUCCUGGUCUAAUGAGGAAACCUCCGGGGCAAAUCGAGGGGCUCGCGGCCUAUCAGCUAGUUGGCGAGGUCAUGGCUCACCAAGGCGACGACGGGUAGCUGGUCUGAGAGGAUGGCCAGCCACAUUGGGACUGAGAAACGGCCCAGACUCCUACGGGAGGCAGCAGUGGGGAAUCUUGCGCAAUGGACGAAAGUCUGACGCAGCGACGCCGCGUGGGGGAUGAAGGCUUUCGGGUUGUAAACCCCUGUUGCCCGGGACGAACUUCUGCUUUCGAGCAGAUUGACGGUACCGGGUGAGGAAGCACCGGCUAACUCUGUGCCAGCAGCCGCGGUAAUACAGAGGGUGCGAGCGUUGUCCGGAAUCACUGGGCGUAAAGGGCGCGUAGGUGGCGCGACAAGUCAGUGGUGAAAGUUCGACGCUCAACGUCGAAUCGGCCACUGAUACUGUUGGGCUUGAGCACUGUAGAGGCAGAUGGAAUUCCGGGUGUAGCGGUGGAAUGCGUAGAGAUCCGGAAGAACACCGGUGGCGAAGGCGGUCUGCUGGGCAGUAGCUGACACUGAGGCGCGACAGCGUGGGGAGCAAACAGGAUUAGAUACCCUGGUAGUCCACGCCGUAAACGAUGGGCACUAGAUGCUUGGGGGAGCGACCCCCUGAGUGUCGACGCUAACGCAUUAAGUGCCCCGCCUGGGGGAGUACGGCCGCAAGGCUGAAACUCAAAGGAAUUGACGGGGGCCCGCACAAGCCGUGGAGCAUGUGGUUUAAUUCGACGCAACGCGAAAACCUUACCU